AUACGGAGGACGCGAGCGUUAUCCGGAUUCAUUGGGUUUAAAGGGUGCGUAGGCGGUUUGCUAAGCGGGAGGUGAAAUGCCGGCGCUCAACGUCGGAAGUGCCUCCCGAACUGGUGGACUGGAAUGACUCUGCCGUGGGAGGAAUGUGUAGUGUAGCGGUGAAAUGCUUAGAGAUUACACAGAACACCGAUUGCGAAGGCAUCUCACGAAGGGUUGAUUGACGCUGAGGCACGAAAGCGUGGGGAUCAAACAGGAUUAGAUACCCUGGUAGUCCACGCAGUAAACGAUGAUGGCUAACCGCUGGUUUAUUCGGAUCAGUGGCCAAGCGAAAGCGAUAAGCCAUCCACCUGGGGAGUACGACCGCAAGGUUGAAACUCAAAGGAAUUGACGGGG
rnacentral:rRNA from 1 species